rnacentral:misc_RNA from 1 species
GAUUAAGAACGCAGCGAAAUGCGAUACUUGGUGUGAAUUGCAGAAUCCCGUGAACCAUCGAGUCUUUGAACGCAAGUUGCGCCCGAAGCCACUAGGCCGAGGGCACGCCUGCCUGGGCGUCACACGCCGUUGCCCCCCCAUCUACUCCUUCGGGAUUGCGGGGGGGCGGAUGAUGGCCUCCCGUGCGCCUAGCCGCGCGGUUGGCAUAAAUACCAAGUCCUCGGCGACGCACGCCACGACAAUCGGUGGUUGCGAAACCUCGGUUGCCCGUCGUGUGCGUUCGUCGCGCAUCGAGGGCUCGAAAAAAUGCUCGGCUCCGGCUGGGCUUUCAACGCGACCCCAGGUCAGGCGGGGUUACCCGCUGAAUUUAAGCAUAUCAAUAAGCGGAGGA